rnacentral:lncRNA from 1 species
UCAAAUUGAAACCAGACUCCACAUGUCAGCUCAGUCUGGUAUGUACUACUUUCCCAAUAGCUAAUUAAUUAUUCUGUGAUGUCCUCUGGUUUACUAGUCAGGGCAUGCUCUUGUCUGUAAUUAGAUCAUGGAUUCCUUCAAGGUCGAGUCAGGGCCUAGGUAGGUGUGAUGACGAGCACAAGUGAAUUGGAUAGUUCUCCUCCCCCCCCUCCUUCUGUUCCUUAUAGUUUAUUGUGCAUUCUAUGCAUGAGUUGAUAACUCUAAUACUUUUUCGUGUUGUUGCUUCUGCAGGUUCUGAAAAUUCAUCCACGGGAAAUUCUAAUGCAUGACGUUGUAGCUCUCAUGUAACUACGAAGAUCUCUGUGAUGUAGAUUAUUUAAAGGUUUUCUAGCUAUUGGCACUGAUAUUGUUUCUCCUAAUAUGCCAUACCAAGCAUGACUAAUACAGCAUACCAAACAUGAGUAGUACAUGAUUAAUGGAAACACAUAACUAAUUAAUGUAGAGACCUCUGGAAAAUAUGUAUAGUUGGCAUUGUUGGUUACCUACUUAGUACAUGAUUAAUGGAAACGCAGACUAAUUAAUGUAGAGACCUCUGGAAAAUAGAAAUCUUCAAUUAUGUAUAGUUGGCAUUGUUGGUUACCUACUUAUCAUUUAGUUUGGAGCUGAUGCAAGAUGCCAAAUUUAUUUAGUACAUGGUUAUAGGUUGCAUAAUUUGCGAUGUUGUUUAAUAAACUCAUGUUGAAAAUGUUCUUGUAUUUAGAUUAUUAAUUAGCCCCACAUGUAUAUCUAUAUCGAAGUCUUCUUAAAUCACAUAUGUGAGCAUUUAUCACACUAUUAGGUACAUCCAAGUUUAGCCUGGUGUGAAUUAUUUUCUUUGAACAUAAAGUAUUUUUGAAUUGUGGAAACCUUGCAACUAUUUGUAUUUUCUGGAAAGCGGCAAAUCUUUCUUUGAAAAUGAAGGAUAUGUGGUAUGUCAGCACAUAUUUUUCUCCAAAGGAGGUACCUCAUUUCUUACAUAGUAUGUUCAUUUUAAGGUUUAACUCAAUUGACAUACAACAUAUUUGUUCAUAAGAAAGCAAUGAUCAAAAGUGUUUGUCAGAUGUUGGAUGUUACUCUCCUUUUCUGCGUACGAAGCUGCAGAUGUAAAGGCUUUCAACCUUUGUAUGGUGCUCCUCUACAUUUUGUUGCUCUAUUAACCUGAUUUUCUCUACCAUAAGUUACUCAUGUCAUUUUUUGUUUCUGUAGAUUGCCAAGAUAAAUGGAUGAUGCAUGACUCAGAUGUUGAUUGCAAGGCCAAGAAUGGGGUUACUAUUAGAUAAUUAGAAUGUCAUUUUCACGAUCAAUGUUUCAAACAUUUUAGUAGAUUAGAAGGUCGAGAAUUAGGAUACAACAAGAUAGUUUCACAUCUUGUAAUCUUUGGAUCAUGUUCUAUGUAACGCUACAUAGUCGAAUUAAUAUAUGAGAAAGGUUUAUUAUAUUGUGGCUCCUAUAUAGUAUGGAUGUUUAACUAAAAAAAU